GCAAGGCCUCAUGCUAUAGGAGCGGCCGAUGUCUGAUUAGCUAGUUGGUGGGGUAAAGGCCCACCAAGGCGACGAUCAGUAGCUGGUCUGAGAGGACGAUCAGCCACACUGGGACUGAGACACGGCCCAGACUCCUACGGGAGGCAGCAGUGGGGAAUUUUGGACAAUGGGGGCAACCCUGAUCCAGCAAUGCCGCGUGUGUGAAGAAGGCCUUCGGGUUGUAAAGCACUUUUGUCCGGAAAGAAAU
rnacentral:rRNA from 1 species